rnacentral:rRNA from 1 species
UACAGAGGUAGCAAGCGUUGUCCGGAUUCACUGGGCGUAAAGGACGUGUAGGCGGCCCUACAAGUCGGGUGUGAAAUCGUUUUGCUCAACAAAACAAUUGCACCCGAUACUGUUUGGCUUGAGUGCAGGAGGGGAAAUUGGAAUUUCCGGUGUAGCGGUGAAAUGCGUAGAUAUCGGAAAGAACACCCGUGGCGAAGGCGGAUUUCUGGCCUGCAACUGACGCUGAGGCGUAAAAGCUAGGGGAG